AAUAAUGUGUUCUGUUUAAAAUCUUUUUAUCUGAAGAACUACUUGCAAAGUUGUGCAAGUGCUGUCGUAAAAAGACUAAGAUUUGACCAUUUCUUCUCGAUUUCAAGUAUCGAAAAAAGAUGGUUAUCCUCGGUGCUCGUGUUAAGAGUUGUCAAAAAUCGAUAAUACACACUUUUGAGGAUUUGCACACACACACAUUGAGAAAAGUGAUGAUAUUUUGGGCGAAAAAAGAGGCGAGAAAGAGUUCUCUCAAGUG
ensembl:ncRNA F22B3.17 ncRNA